GGGUUGUGAGGUUAAGUGACUAAGCGUACACGGUGGAUGCCUAGGCAGUCAGAGGCGAUGAAGGGCGUGCUAAUCUGCGAAAAGCGUCGGUAAGGUGAUAUGAACCGUUAUAACCGGCGAUACCCGAAUGGGGAAACCCAGUGUGUUUCGACACACUAUCAUGUCAUGAAUACAUAGUGGCAUGAGGCGAACCGGGGGGAACUGAAACAUCUAAGUACCCCGAGGAAAAGAAAUCAACCGAGAUUCCCCCCAGUAGCGGCGAGCGAACGGGGAGGAGCCCAGAACCUGAAUCGGCUUGUGUGUUAGUGGAAGCGUCUGGAAAGUCGCGCAGCAAAGGGUGAUAGCCCCGUACACUAAAAUGCACAGGUCGUGAGUUCGAUGAGUAGGGCGGGACACGUGACAUCCUGUCUGAAUAUGGGGGGACCAUCCUCCAAGGCUAAAUACUCCUGACUGACCGAUAGUGAACCAGUACCGUGAGGAAAGGCGAAAAGAACCCCGGCGAGGGAGUGAAAUAGAACCUGAAACCGUGUACGUACAAGCAGUGGGAGCACCUUCGUGGUGUGACUGCGUACCUUUGUAUAAUGGGUCAGCGACUUAUAUUUUGUAGCAAGGUUAACCGUAUAGGGAGCCGUAGGAAACCGAGUCUUAACUGGGCGAAUAGUUGCAAGGUAUAGACCCGAAACCCGGUGAUCUAGCCAUGGGCAGGUUGAAGGUUGGGUAACACUAACUGGAGGACCGAACCGACUAAUGUUGAAAAAUUAGCGGAUGACUUGUGGCUGGGGGUGAAAGGCCAAUCAAACCGGGAGAUAGCUGGUUCUCCCCGAAAGCUAUUUAGGUAGCGCCUCGUGAACUCAUCUUCGGGGGUAGAGCACUGUUUCGGCUAGGGGGCCAUCCCGGCUUACCAAACCGAUGCAAACUCCGAAUACCGAAGAAUGUUAUCACGGGAGACACACGGCGGGUGCUAACGUCCGUCGUGAAGAGGGAAACAACCCAGACCGCCAGCUAAGGUCCCAAAGUCAUGGUUAAGUGGGAAACGAUGUGGGAAGGCAUAGACAGCCAGGAUGUUGGCUUAGAAGCAGCCAUCAUUUAAAGAAAGCGUAAUAGCUCACUGGUCGAGUCGGCCUGCGCGGAAGAUGUAACGGGGCUAAACCAUGCACCGAAGCUGCGGCAGCGACGCUUAGGCGUUGUUGGGUAGGGGAGCGUUCUGUAAGCCGUUGAAGGUGGCCUGUGAGGGUUGCUGGAGGUAUCAGAAGUGCGAAUGCUGACAUAAGUAACGAUAAAGCGGGUGAAAAGCCCGCUCGCCGGAAGACCAAGGGUUCCUGUCCAACGUUAAUCGGGGCAGGGUGAGUCGACCCCCUAAGGCGAGGCUGAAAAGCGUAGUCGAUGGGAAACAGGUUAAUAUUCCUGUACUUGGUGUUACUGCGAAGGGGGGACGGAGAAGGCUAGGCUAGCCGGGCGACGGUUGUCCCGGUUUAAGCGUGUAGGGGGGUGUGACCUGGUAAAUCCGGUUGCAUAUUAACCCUGAGGCGUGAUGACGAUGCACUACGGUGCAGAAGUAGUUGAUGCCCUGCUUCCAGGAAAAUCCUCUAAGCAUCAGGUAACAUUAAAUCGUACCCCAAACCGACACAGGUGGUCAGGUAGAGAAUACCAAGGCGCUUGAGAGAACUCGGGUGAAGGAACUAGGCAAAAUGGUGCCGUAACUUCGGGAGAAGGCACGCUGGCAUGUAGGUGAAGUCCCUCGCGGAUGGAGCUGAAGCCAGUCGAAGAUACCAGCUGGCUGCAACUGUUUAAUAAAAACACAGCACUGUGCAAACACGAAAGUGGACGUAUACGGUGUGACGCCUGCCCGGUGCUGGAAGGUUAAUUGAUGGGGUCAGCCGCAAGGCGAAGCUCUUGAUCGAAGCCCCAGUAAACGGCGGCCGUAACUAUAACGGUCCUAAGGUAGCGAAAUUCCUUGUCGGGUAAGUUCCGACCUGCACGAAUGGCGUAAUGAUGGCCAGGCUGUCUCCACCCGAGACUCAGUGAAAUUGAACUCGCUGUGAAGAUGCAGUGUACCCGCGGCAAGACGGAAAGACCCCGUGAACCUUUACUAUAGCUUGACACUGAACAUUGAGCCUUGAUGUGUAGGAUAGGUGGGAGGCUUUGAAGCGUGGACGCCAGUCUGCGUGGAGCCAUCCUUGAAAUACCACCCUUUAAUGUUUGAUGUUCUAACUCGGCCCCAUAAUCUGGGGUGAGGACAGUGUCUGGUGGGUAGUUUGACUGGGGCGGUCUCCUCCCAAAGAGUAACGGAGGAGCACGAAGGUUAGCUAAUCACGGUCGGACAUCGUGAGGUUAGUGCAAAGGCAUAAGCUAGCUUGACUGCGAGAGUGACGGCUCGAGCAGGUACGAAAGUAGGUCUUAGUGAUCCGGUGGUUCUGAAUGGAAGGGCCAUCGCUCAACGGAUAAAAGGUACUCCGGGGAUAACAGGCUGAUACCGCCCAAGAGUUCAUAUCGACGGCGGUGUUUGGCACCUCGAUGUCGGCUCAUCACAUCCUGGGGCUGAAGUAGGUCCCAAGGGUAUGGCUGUUCGCCAUUUAAAGUGGUACGCGAGCUGGGUUUAGAACGUCGUGAGACAGUUCGGUCCCUAUCUGCCGUGGGCGUUGGAAGAUUGAGAGGGGUUGCUCCUAGUACGAGAGGACCGGAGUGAACGCACCACUGGUGUUCGGGUUGUCAUGCCAAUGGCAUUGCCCGGUAGCUAAGUGCGGAAAAGAUAAGCGCUGAAAGCAUCUAAGCGCGAAACUUGCCUCAAGAUGAGUCUUCCCUGGGCCUUUAAGGUCCCUGAAGGAACGUUUAAGACUAAGACGUUGAUAGGCUGGGUGUGUAAGUGCAGCGAUGCAUUGAGCUAACCAGUACUAAUGAUCCGUGAGGCUUAACCUUACAACACCGAAGGUGUUU
rnacentral:rRNA from 1 species